UACGUAGGGUGCAAGCGUUAAUCGGAAUUACUGGGCGUAAAGCGUGCGCAGGCGGUUGUGUAAGUCAGAUGUGAAAUCCCCGGGCUCAACCUGGGAAUUGCAUUUGAGACUGCACGGCUAGAGUGUGGCAGAGGGGGGUAGAAUUCCACGUGUAGCAGUGAAAUGCGUAGAUAUGUGGAGGAAUACCGAUGGCGAAGGCAGCCCCCUGGGAUAACACUGACGCUCAUGCACGAAAGCGUGGGGAGCAAACAGG
rnacentral:rRNA from 1 species